rnacentral:rRNA from 1 species
UACGGAGGGUGCAAGCGUUAUCCGGAUUCACUGGGCUUAAAGGGUGCGUAGGCGGGCAGGUAAGUCCGUGGUGAAAUCUCUGAGCUUAACUCAGAAACUGCCAUGGAUACUAUUUGUCUUGAAUGUUGUGGAGGUAAGCGGAAUAUGUCAUGUAGCGGUGAAAUGCUUAGAUAUGACAUAGAACACCAAUUGCGAAGGCAGCUUACUGGACAAAUAUUGACGCUGAGGCACGAAAGCGUGGGGAGCAAACAGG